CUAUUCUGUUUAAACAGGACAAGAGGUGAAUCAGAGACUCUUACAGCUGAGACUCUUACAUGUUUAUAUUGCAGUGGAUGAUCUACAAACACUUCUGAUAUACAACAAUAUGCUCAUGCAAUAAUGGAUUGUGUUACCUUAAGUUCCACAACUGGAUACUGCAAAAGUAGGAAAAAGAGAUGUUACAAGGACAGUUGUGAAUAAAGUAAUCAAACAUAUUGUCAAUUAUUUGUAGUCGCAGGGCAUGACAUCAUAAAAGUUAAAUGUGUUAAAGUCCUCCUCUGGUAUGCAUUUAGAUUUCAUUGGCUGAAGCACAGAACAAGUGGUUUGAAUCACUAGCCCACAUGAUUGCGGGCUACUCCAGCAGCUGCUGACUGGGGAACAGAUUUGGGUUGGCUCUUGGUCCGAUACAUUCUGGACUUGGCUGAUAUUUGGGUUAACCAAUUUGGGAUCAACACACAGCACCUGAGUCAGGUUCUUUAUGCGACAAACCAAAGUCCAUGAGGCCAGUGUUGACAUUUAAGUAAGGCGGAGAUCACAGCCAGCAGCAAGUGGCAGCAGCAAGCGUAACACAACGCUCAGACCAUAAUAAGUUCUACCUCGUUCCUAUGGUAACACAAAUGGUUUGCCUUAACUGACAAUUGAAUACACCCAUGCUGCGCUUUGAAAGUUGAACCAAGUUCAACGCUCAGCUUGUUCAACCGCUGGCCGCUGGCUAAUGUGAUCCCCGCCUAAAACCUUUGGUUACAUUCAGUUUGCAUAGGAUUGUCACAUAGUGGGAGCUCUCUUUGCCUCACCUCUCCAUUAACUGCGAUAAACUUUGUGUCCAAUGAGAUCACUCUGAAAUGCACUGCAGAAGAUGACAAUGUUAUAAUCAGAUCUGUUAAGGCAGGUAUGCUGUGUGAAGCCCUCUGCACCUUCCUCUCCACUUACCUGUUUGGCCAGAUUAAACGUUUGACCCUUGACCUCUACACGGAUCUUCUGGACGGACAUGGUCAUCACCACAGGAGCCUGGAGGGGAACAUGAAAACAUGCCCUUAUCUUGUGUCCCAACUUUUUCAUCAGGACAAAAGUCUAGAGGAGAAAGUAAAAACACCUGCUAUUUUGCUCAAACUCUUUCAUCAGCUCAAGAGCCAAGGAGAAAAUAGAAACAUCUCCCGAUCUUCCGAAAAUCACCACAGGAGUCUACAGGGGAUUUACAGAUCUUUUGAUUGAUGCAUUGUACACAGCUAACCCUGCUCACUAUCACUGCUUAGAGACAUUGGCACAACUUUCACUGCCUAGAGACACUGGCACAGCUUCACUUACGGCCUUGGUGCUGGGUUAGCGUAACCCACGGCAGCCAGCAGCCCCAGGGCAGUGCAGAUCCUCCAGAGGAACAUUCUUCUGUGUCUCCAGGGGUUUGGACACAAGACUCACUGCUGUAACGGUCACCACUGUGUAUUACUGGUAGGAAGUCUGACCUUUACCAAAAGGAUGACCCAGAUUUGGUGCCAUCUGUUGGACUGACAGGUCAGCAAGGAGGAACCUCGGUCACCCAAAGAAACAGGGAACUCACGCUACAAGCGUCACAUGAAUCAAACCCAGCAGAGACUGGAGGCUGAAGCUACUGCUGCUGCUGCUGAGACUGAUGACCCCAACACAAGUGAUUAUGUCAGCGAUAAUUUGUGCUGUACAGGGACUCAAACUGAAUUGACUGGUGAUGUCAUUGAGGCUAUGAACACUGAACUCCAAAGUCUUAGAACUGAAAACAUUCAGUGAUGUUGCACAUUUGUUCACUUCCUAUGACCAAAGGGCCUUUGUUGAUAAGGAUGGAAAGUUAUUAUUUUUCACUGGCCUACAUACAUACCAGAUACUGUUACUCUUCACAUUCCUUAGUUCCCACCUCCCUGUGAAGAAGUCACUUGAUAAGUUUAAGCAGUUGAUGCUUACAUUGAUGCAUCUUAGGCUAAAUGUUUCCUCAACUUUCCUGUCAUAUGCAUUCAAUGUGUCAAUAGUUACUGCUACAAGGAUAGUCACCGAUGUCAUGUUUAUUCGCAUGAAGCCAAUUAUCAUAUGGCCAGAAAGAGAACAGUUUAAAACAAAAAAAACAUGCCAAUGCAAUUCAGGAAACAUUUUGGGAAAAUAUUUGCUGUUAUUAUUGACUGUUUUGAGGUUUUUAUAGAACGUCCGUCUAUAGCCAGAGCAAAAACAUGGUCUUCCUACAAGCACCAUAACACAGUUCAAUUCUUGAUUGGUAUUACAAUCCCCAGGGCACAGUCUCCUACAAUUCAAAUGCAUGGGGAGGAAGAGUAGCAACAAAAACAUAACUGAAAACUGUGGCUUUUUGGACAACAUACUUGGUGAUCUAGUUCUUGCUGACCAUGGCUUAAAUAUUCAGGCCACUUUUGGUUGUAGAAUGGCUCAUGUACAAAUUCCAGCCUUCACUCCUGGAAAGUCACAGUUACAGUAGCUCCUGUUCACUUAGAAACCACAAGGAAAAUUGCCCACGUCAGGAUUCAUGUUGAGCGUGUGAUUGGUUGUGUGGGCCAGAAAUACUAUUUUGGGGGGGGGGGGGUCUUCUUGUCCAACAUCAGUUCCUGAACUCACAAAUGCUCAUCUCAAUCAAAGGGCAAAAAGGGGGGGGGGGGGGGGUCAAUUAAUUUCUUGAUGUGUAGAUAGUGAUGGUUAUUGUAGCAUAUAAGAUUGGACUUGUCUGUUGUGCUCUGGUAAACUUUUGUCCAUCAGUAGUUGAUUUUUACCUACUGUAAAUAUAUUUUUAUAUGCACUUUGGCAAUAGAAAAUAUAAAUGAAUCCAUGUCUCUGUGUCUAUAUAUACAGUAGGCUAAAAUUAUAUAAAUGAUUGUUAAUUUACAGUCAUUAAGCCAUUGUAUUGUUGUGGAAGAGAACACACAGCAUUUCACUAUCAUCAGAACACAGAUUUAUUAAAGGAAAAAUAAAGUAUCAGUGAAACUUCACAGCAGCCAACUAAAAAAGUUUUAUUUUUUGUUUUAUUACUUUGGAGGUUUCUUUCUUUUUUGGAAGAGACUGGGGUAGCUUUUGGCUCUGUGGGCAAUACCAGGUUCCCUUUGGUGCAAUCAUAACAUUAAUACAUGAGUAGUGAAACCAAUUAAUAUGACAUUUUGCAUUGUCACAUAUAGAACCAUCUUUCUAAACUCAACCUGGCCACAGAAACACCAGGUUCUUUCUUGGCCACUGGCACUUGCAGCACAAUCAGAGCCAUGUGAUUCAACUGAGGCAAAUAUUCCAGGUUGUAAGGACACAGUGGCCAUGGUAGAUGAAAGCUUUGUGUAAAACUUGCCAACUAACUCUAGAAUAAUGUCUGUCGAAAAUGUUCUUGCUUUUCAUACCUCAGAACUCCAAAUCAAAUAA